rnacentral:rRNA from 1 species
GUCCGCACAGUAAACGAUGAAUACUAACUGUUUGCGAUACACAGCAAGUGGUACAGUGAAAACGUUAAGUAUUCCACCUGGGGAGUACGCCGGCAACGGUGAAACUCAAAGGAAUUGACGGGGGCCCGCACAAGCGGAGGAACAUGUGGUUUAAUUCGAUGAUACGCGAGGAACCUUACCCGGGCUUGAAUUGCAUUUGAGUAGUGUGGAAACAUGCUAGCCAGCAAUGGCAAAUGUGAAGGUGCUGCAUGGUUGUCGU